AGUGAACGCUGGCGGUAGGCCUAACACAUGCAAGUCGAACGGCAGCACAGUAAGAGCUUGCUCUUACGGGUGGCGAGUGGCGGACGGGUGAGGAAUACAUCGGAAUCUACUUUUUCGUGGGGGAUAACGUAGGGAAACUUACGCUAAUACCGCAUACGACCUACGGGUGAAAGCAGGGGAUCUUCGGACUUUGCGCGAUUGAAUGAGCCGGUGUCGGAUUAGCUAGUUGGCGGGGUAACGGCCCACCAAGGCGACGAUCCGUAGCUGGUCUGAGAGGGUGAUCAGCCACACUGGGACUGAGACACGGUCCAGACUCCUACGGGAGGCAGCAGUGGGGAAUAUUGGGCAAUGGGCGCAAGCCUGAUCCAGCCAUACCGCGUGGGUGAAGAAGGCCUUCGGGUUGUAAAGCCCUUUUGUUGGGAAAGAAAAGCAGCAUGAUAAAACCACGCUGUUCUGACGGUACCCAAAGAAUAAGCACCGGCUAACUUCGUG
rnacentral:rRNA from 1 species